CUAGCCGUAAACGAUGUAGACUUGGCGUCGGUGGUUUAAUAUCCAUCGGUGUCGUAGCUAACGCGAUAAGUCUACCGCCUGGGGACUACGGCCGCAAGGUUAAAACUCAAAGGAAUUGAC
rnacentral:rRNA from 1 species